GUGAGAUGAACCGGGCACCUCAGUUGGAAAUGCAGAAAGCACCUGCGUUGAUCUCGCUGGGAGCUGCAGACAAGAGCUGUUACUAUUUGACCUUCUUGCCAGCAAUGCCUUGUUCCAGUUUUAAAGGAUCAAUGUUCAAUGGAGCUUGGAUUUGUCAUGGGUCUCUGGUGACAAACAUUGGUCAUAUUGGCUUGUCACUUACUACUUUUUAUGGAAGAAGCUGGAAAAGCCACACUGAUAAGGAUUGAGCUCCUGAGCAGCCAGAAGUCCCUCAGGGCAGCACACACGCCUGAAAGGGAUUGUGCAUGGUGGAUUCUGACAGCACCCCAUAUAGGAAAAGGAUACCUAAAUGUGUAAACAGAAUCAGAGGCCACAAAUUAAACUCUUCCAUCAAUGGUUGGAAGACUGGACCAUAGCUGCACUUGAACUCAUCCACCAAAGGUUGGAAGACUGGACCAUAGCUGCACUUGAACUCUUCCACCAAAUCCCUUCAAAAGACAAAACUCUCUCUCUCUAGAGGUCUUGAGGCUUAGCUCAAAGCAAUGGCUGCAAGCUUGAAAUUUGUUUUUUUCUUUUAUUUAAGCUAAAAUGUCAUGUAAAUUUUGAUAUCUACUGCAUAAAGCAUGUCUUUGUUUUGAUAUAAAAAUAACACUUUAUUUCUUGUUAACUUACUUUUUUCCCAAAUAGGGAUUGGGGUGUGGGGGCAGUAUAUACCAGGAAAUGUACUUAGAGCUUCACAAAUGCUAUUACAUGUAAAUCUCACAGGAAGGUAUUAUUAAUCCUAUAUUUUUGUUGAUGAGACAAAGCUGUAUAGUAGUUGAAAUGUUCACCCAUUGUCACACAUUAGAAAGGGGAGAAGAAGAAUUCUAAGUUCAGUUUGUCUGUCCUUAAAGUCUGCUCUCCUGAAAAGGGUAGGCGCUCUGUUGACUUCAUAUGCUUUGCUGAGUAUCCAUUUAUUUACCUGCCCUUAUUGAAUGAAAUCUCUACAUCUAAUUUAAUAAAGUCACUCCAAGCAGUGAGCUUAACUUAAGAAAAAGAUAGUGUGACAAUUCGGUUUGCCAUUAGAACUUGGGGGCCUAUGUAAUCCAAAAGAUCAUUGCAUCAGAUAAAAGAUGGUCCCCCAAAUCAGUCCCCAGGGAUGCUCUAUCAGGAGCCGUUAUGCACG
rnacentral:lncRNA from 1 species